AGAUACACAGAUGUCAAAGGUGCUUGUUUGAGCUUAAUAGGGAAUCCCGUGAAAAUCGGGAGCGGUCCCGCCGCUGUGAUCGGGGACGAACCCUGCGAUAUGUCACUGCAUGGAUAAAACCUUGCGGGAAGAUGCAGGAAGUAGAGUGAUCCGAGAGUCAGAAGACCUGCCUUGAAACAUUAAACCUU
rnacentral:ncRNA from 2 species